UACGUAGGGUGCAAGCGUUGUCCGGAAUUAUUGGGCGUAAAGAGCUCGUAGGCGGCCUGUCGCGUCGGCUGUGAAAACUCGGGGCUCAACUCCGAGCUUGCAGUCGAUACGGGCAGGCUAGAGUUCGGCAGGGGAGACUGGAAUUCCUGGUGUAGCGGUGAAAUGCGCAGAUAUCAGGAGGAACACCGGUGGCGAAGGCGGGUCUCUGGGCCGAUACUGACGCUGAGGAGCGAAAGCGUGGGGAGCGAACAGG
rnacentral:rRNA from 1 species